rnacentral:rRNA from 1 species
AUUGAACGCUGGCGGCAGGCCUAACACAUGCAAGUCGAGCGAGCGGCGGACGGGUGAGUAAUGUAUGGGGAUCUGCCUGAUGGAUGGGGAUAACUACCGGACACGGUAGCUAAUAACGCAUUCCCUCAGCUGAACCGAUAUGGGAUUAGCUUGUAGGUGAGGUAACGGCUCACCAAGGCGACGAUCCCUAGCUGGUCUGAGAGGAUGAUCAGCCACACGGGGACUGAGACACGGCCCAGACUCCUACGGGAGGCAGCAGUGGGGAAUAUUGCACAAUGGGCGAAAGCCUGAUGCAGCCAGGCCGCGUGUAUGAAGAAGGCCUUCGGGUUGUAAAGUACUUUCAGUCGGGAGGCGUUACCGACAGAAUAAGCACCGGCUAACUCCGUGCCAGCAGCCGCGGUAAUUC